CGAUACAUAUCUUGGGACGUACGCUGUUUCAUUUAAUUAUAGAAUUUUAAUUAGCUAUUUUCCUCUCUUCAGCAGAGAAUGGACAGCCUACUAUUUUUGCCACUCGUACCCGCCCCCUUUCCAUGUUGCGCACUUUCCCUGCUCGUACCCCUCGCCCCUACUUCGAUGCAAAGGAUUUUAGUUUGCCCUAUUUAUCUGCUUGAGACACCUGCAGAAUCUGUUUGCAUUCAUCGGAACCCAGCGUUUGGUCUUGUGGCGUUAGAUGUCUUGCAACUGUAUUGCAUGUUUUGCUUGUUGGUUGCAGCUGAGGUGAAAAAACGCUGAUAGAUCUCCCCAUCAACAGGUGAUUUCACUUUAACUUGAACUUUAAACACGCCCAUGUGUUUAUGACGGCUAAAGGCUUCCAGGCUUUGUGGAGGCGGAACGUCCUCACAUCCUGGCAGGCUAGGUCGUGACGGGAGGCCAAAGGGUCGUGGUGGCGGGUCACGCACCGGUGUGAUUGGGUUACCAGUAAUCUGCGCAACACUACCGAGCCUCAAGGGGUGCUGGGAAAACUGGGCCUUCCUGUAACCGUGUGAGGGAGGGAAGGGGUUGCUGGCAUCUGACUCACAGUCUUCUCACCUUCUCCGUCUGAUCCUGAAACUACCUAAUGACACCACCGGGAGGCCGAGCGAGCACACAGCACACUCCCACAGAGGCGCCGCCGCCAUGGAGCCAAGGAACACGACGGGAAGUCCGCCGCGGCUAACAUCAUUCCACAAGACCGUGCAGUGGCGUGAGCGUGAGGAGUGUCUGAUGCUGGUGCUGGGAAGGAGGCCUGUCUACUCACGCUACUUACGCUUGUCUACUUCCUCUUGGGGGCCCUCAUCACCCUUAACCACUGGAUAGGGAGAUCUUCCAUAUUGCCUCUCUGACAUGCCUGCAUAUGACCAAGGACUUCCCUUGGCCCCUCUACCCAGGCCGUAUGACCAUCAAUUCAACCCCCCAACCCAUGCUCCUACGGGGGUCACUGGAGGGGCAUCUGUAGGCCAUAAUGGCGAACGUCCGGAUGGGGGUCUGUAUGUGGGCUGCAGUUGGAGAGCUCCUGGCAUAAUUCAGGGCUGGAACAGAACGGCUGUUGGGGGUGCGGCCUGACGACAGGAUCUGUGAGGAGUUUGGGGAGAUGCUUCAGCGGGCAGAGAAUGCACAGGUGCACACACACACAAAACACACAAAACACAAACACACACACACACACACACACACAUACACACACACACUCAUACACACACAAAUAACACACACACACACACACACACACACACGCUCAAACAUUAGCCAAUAUUUUUAUUUUUACUUUUUAUUCUCUUCUGGUCACUUUUGAUGUUGCAUGCAUAUUACGUCAUGCAUGUCUGUCUCUCUAUCUCUCUUUGUGUGUGUGUGUGUGUGCACGUGUGCGCGCAUUGAUAGCUACUGUGUUGUACUAUAAUGGGAACUUUAACCUGAGUGUAUGUGAAACUCCAUCUCUGUGGAAGAUUACUGUUCCUGAGUCACAUGAGUCUUGUGUGUGUGUGUGUGUGUGUGUGUGUGUGUGUGUGUGUGUGUGUGUGUGUUAGAGAGAGAUAUAGAGAACCAUCCACAGGGUUGGGCAGGAUGAUCCGAUCCUCCCACAGUCAUGUGUUUUCCAGUCCUAGGACAUGACAUCUAUGACACAGUCUUGUAGUUUUAUAAAUGUAUCCUAGUUUUUUAAGUGUUCUAUGUUUUUUUAUUUACCUAAAAAAAUGAUAAUUUAUCCAAAACUCAACAAAUUUCAUCUCAUAAAUAUUGUAAAAGGUUGAGGAAAUGCAUAGCAGAGCAUAGCAAAUGUUUGACAAUACUGUGACCAGGAAACACCUGCUCAGGAGAAAAUAGUUCAUUUGUCAGACUGAGCGGAUGUCCUACAGGAAAGGUAUCACAUGGCGUUGGGCAUGUAGGGGGACAUACGUGGACAUAGUUUCCAUUCCUUCUGUGAACAGUGCACUUGUUGUAGCCUUAUUAAGAGAACGGGGACGAGAGAGGAUGUUGUUACUUCCUGGGGAUAAUAUGACAUGGGUGCAAAGGUCAAAACGCGCGCACACACACACGCACACACACGCAGUCUCUUUCUCUCUCUGUAUCACUCUGUAUCUUGGCAUCUUUCUCUGGUUCCCUGUACCAGUCUGUCAUACCCCUCUUGCUCUGACUCUUUUUUAUUCUCCUUCUCACAUUCUCUCCUUCAGAUGCUCUCUCUCUCUCUCUCUCUCUCUCUCUCUUUCUCUUUCUCUUUCUCUCUCUCUCUCUCGCUGUCUCUGUCGCUCACACAUGGCAUUGGUUGCACAGCACUGCCCAGUUAAAAGUGUGGUCCAGUAUGUGGGUCGUGGCACCAGCCUCCGUGCAGGUUGGCAUGGGCUUACGCGGCUGCUCACAACCACUCACAACCCUGACAUCAUCACCGAACCUGACGAGUCCUCACAUCAAAUCUCAGAUCUUGUCACCGUGUCGUGUCACACGCACAGCCCAUAAAGUGGGGCUGGAGCGGGCUGAGAGAUGGACAGCAGUUUAUGUCCAGUGAGGACCGGAGUCGAGCCUCUGGAGCUCCAAUGGCGUGAUCGGGCGUAGAGGGUGGAGAAGUGGGUGCCGAGGUGACCCCCCCGGGGCGAGCAGCGCCAAAUGGAGUGUGUGAAAUUGUGACAACCCUGUAGUGUGAUUUCUUCUUUUUCAUCUCAUUCAUGCUUUGCCUCUCUCUCUCUAUCUCUCUCUCUCUCUCUCUCUCUCUCUCUCUCUCUCUCUCUCU